CCAACCUUAGCUCAGUUGGUAGAGCGGAGGAUUGUAGAUCCUUAAGUCGUUGGUUCGAAUCCAACAGGUCGAA